rnacentral:rRNA from 2 species
UGAGUGUACCUUUCGANUAAGCACCGGCUAANUACGUGCCAGCAGCCGCGGUAAUACGUAGGGUGCAAGCGUUAUCCGGNANUUAUUGGGCGUAAAGGGCUCGUAGGCGGUUCGUCGCGUCCGGUGUGAAAGUCCAUCGCUUAACGGUGGAUCCGCGCCGGGUACGGGCGGGCUUGAGUGCGGUAGGGGAGACUGGAAUUCCCGGUGUAACGGUGGAAUGUGUAGAUAUCGGGAAGAACACCAAUGGCGAAGGCAGGUCUCUGGGCCGUCACUGACGCUGAGGAGCGAAAGCGUGGGGAGCGAACAGGAUUAGAUACCCUGGUAGUCCACGCCGUAAACGGUGGAUGCUGGAUGUGGGGACCAUUCCACGGUCUCCGUGUCGGAGCCAACGCGUUAAGCAUCCCGCCUGGGGAGUACGGCCGCAAGGCUAAAACUCAAAGAAAUUGACGGGGGCCCGCACAAGCGGCGGAGCAUGCGGAUUAAUUCGAUGCAACGCGAAGAACCUUACCUGGGCUUGACAUGUUCCCGACAGCCGCAGAGAUACGGUCUCCCUUCGGGGCGGGUUCACAGGUGGUGCAUGGUCGUCGUCAGCUCGUGUCGUGAGAUGUUGGGUUAAGUCCCGCAACGAGCGCAACCCUCGCCCUGUGUUGCCAGCACGUCGUGGUGGGAACUCACGGGGGACCGCCGGGGUCAACUCGGAGGAAGGUGGGGAUGACGUCAGAUCAUCAUGCCCCUUACGUCCAGGGCUUCACGCAUGCUACAAUGGCCGGUACAACGGGAUGCGACCUCGUGAGGGGGAGCGGAUCCCUUAAAACCGGUCUCAGUUCGGAUUGGAGUCUGCAACCCGACUCCAUGAAGGCGGAGUCGCUAGUAAUCGCGGAUCAGCAACGCCGCGGUGAAUGCGUUCCCGGGCCUUGUACACACCGCCCGUCAAGUCAUGAAAGUGGGUAGCACCCGAAGCCGGUGGCC